rnacentral:rRNA from 1 species
UACGGGAGGCAGCAGUGAGGAAUAUUGGUCAAUGGGCGAGAGCCUGAACCAGCCAAGUAGCGUGCAGGAUGACGGCCCUAUGGGUUGUAAACUGCUUUUAUGUGGGGAUAAAGUGCGUGACGUGUCAUGCAUUGCAGGUACCACAUGAAUAAGGACCGGCUAAUUCCGUGCCAGCAGCCGCGGUAAUACGGAAGGUCCGGGCGUUAUCCGGAUUUAUUGGGUUUAAAGGGAGCGUAGGCUGUCUAUUAAGCGUGUUGUGAAAUUUACCGGCUCAACCGGUGGCUUGCAGCGCGAACUGGUCGACUUGAGUAUGCAGGAAGUAGGCGGAAUUCAUGGUGUAGCGGUGAAAUGCUUAGAUAUCAUGACGAACUCCGAUUGCGCAGGCAGCUUACUGUAGCAUAACUGACGCUGAUGCUCGAAAGUGCGGGUAUCAAACAGGAUUAGAUACCCUGGUAGUCCGCACGGUAAACGAUGGAUGCUCGCUAUUCGUCCUAUUUGGAUGAGUGGCCAAGUGAAAACAUUAAGCAUCCCACCUGG